GCAAUUCCCGUGUAGCUGGAAUAUCACCAACUAUAUGAGAAAACAUUUUGAAAUAACCACUCUGAUUAAAUAAAUAAAAAAGAACAUCGUUCCAUUCAAACCAUUUGAAAUAUUGUAUUUAGCAAUUAAGUCAAAGCAACCAUUGUAAGACUCAAAUUCCUAACAUUCGAAAAUGACAAGAGACCUAACAGUAAUUGACACAUAAUAUACAACCAAACAUUUAAAUGAAAUACAAAUAUAAACAAAAACUCAACCAAGAGGAACUUUUACAAAUAAACAGACAACCCUGCUGAUGAAUAUCCAAUCAAAUUGACAACUCACAUGUUCCUAGCAACCCGAUAUACAACGCAUCCAAUAAUAUUCACAUAAGCUCACAAGGAUGCUCAGUGCAUCACAAAUAACUAAAAAUAUAAUACACGAGCUACAUAUUCAUAAUUACACAAUCGACAUAAGGUUAUCCAAGGAAAAGCAGUUAUGGUAUCACAAAAACCUCAUUUCCCCACUAUUUUUUUAUAAACCCUCACAAAAGACGGAUACAAUGGUAUUAGAAAACUCGAUCUCAUUCACUUCGAAACUGGUUGAAUAGUUAGAAUUCGAAGUUGGAAUUUGGUGUAGACAGCAUAAUCAUACUCACACCCAACUUAACAUAAAAGAAUAUUUACACAAAAUUAUAUCUUUUGUAAUAACCGAUCCAUCAAAUCCCGUUAUAUAUAUAUAUAUAUGUAUUAUAGUGUUAUAAAAUUUUAAACACUAUAAAAGCUUACAAUUCAUAAUUAAAACAGCAAAAAUAUUUAGAAUUCGAACAUUAUUAGUUAUAUAGUUGGAAUUUGGUGUAGACAACAUAAUCAUACUCACACCCAACUUAACAUAAAAGAAUAUUUACACAAAAUUAUAUCUUUUGUAAUAACCAAUCCAUCAAAUCCCGCACGUAGCAUUGUAUGUGAAUUUUAUAGAAAAUAAACCUUGGUUGUUCAUAGGUUAUAUCUAUUGUAAUAAAAUAGUGAUCUUUUUUAUUGUACGAGAACCGUCUUCUUAUCCAUGAGUAUAUGCCUAAUGGAAGCUUGGGAAAUCAUUUGUUUGAAAGUAAGUAAAGAAACUCUUUUUUAAAUCCAACACUUAUGGUUUUAUCCUCCACAUUCCUCAUGGCCUGAGUUGUGCUCAUUCUAGGAGGUUCCAAUGUGCUUUCUUGGUCACUACGUAUGAAAAUCGCGAUUGGUGCUGCUCGAGAACUAUGUUUCUUGCAUGAUUCUAAGAACGAAGUCAUUUACAGGGACUUCAAAGCAUCAAAUAUCCUUCUCGAUUCAGGAUUCAACGCCAAACUCUCAGAUUUUGGAUUGGCCAGAGAAGGUCCAAAAGAUGACCGUUCACACGUGAUAACUGAAGUUAUUGAUACAAAAGGUUACGCUAAUCUACCCAGUGAAAGCAACAGGCCGCCGUACAGGUUCACGAAGACACGGGAGGUAGCAUCCCACUAAUUAUCAUGCACUUUAAUGAUUUGCAAAACUACAAUCAAUAUUAUUUUGAGAUAAUGAGAUUCUUUACUCCGUUUUCAUUUUUACAUUUGGUCCACAUAAGACUCUUAUUUUAUACUAUACGUAGAAACAUAUAAAAAUAAUAGUAAUAGAUUGUACACCCAUAAUAUUGCUAGGUAAAAACUAUAUAUCCAAAAUUCUGAUGUAAGGACAUGUAUAUCAAUCAAUAAUCAUUAUUAAAUUUCAAAAAUAAUAUAUUUAGAAAGAGUCAAAAAUUAAUUACCAAGCCCAUAACAUUUUCUUCAUAUAAUCAACACUCUAAUAGACAAUAAAUACAUGUCAAAAUAAUAUAUAAAUAUAACUGUAUAGUUAUAUUAGUCUGCUAAUACCAAAACAUGUAAGAAAAAUAACUAAUAUGUAUAGUUUUCUAUAAUAUAAAUAUAUAUUAAAUACAUACUAUACCGGUUCAAUUUUUAUUUAAUAUACAUCCCGUCCGUAGGGCGGGCCGACCCUAGUUCGUUAUAAAUGUAUGUCUCAUACUGAUGUCAUAUUACAUGCAAACAAGUUUAAAUUCGCAGAGCAGAAGAAGUUUAAGAGUACAUUAAUGUAUUUGUUCUUAAAGUAUGAGUUUCCAUUAAGUUAACAUUUAGGUACAAUGUAUACAAUUUAUUUAUUUGUUUCGCAAAGGAAUUAUACAACGUUAUAGUACAAAAUAAAUAAAAGAGAGACCGGAGUUACGCGAUGUUUCAUUUUAAUAAAUCUUAUUCAAUAGCAAAUUAUAUUGAUAAAUAUGUCAUUCUUAUAAAUCCGCAGGGACACCCGAUAAUUUUCACAUCCUAGCACUUACCCAAGCAAACUCCCAUCAUCAUCAUCGCUUGAUGGUACACAACAUAAUGUAGUGACAUAUACAACUUUUCUCUUCAAUAGUACACUAAUGGAAGACAGCAGACUUGGACUCUGGAUUGAAAUAUAGUUUCUUUUGGUUUUGGUUAAUACGCAUAUCUUUUUAAAAAUGUAUACUUUCAAAUUUCAAGGGAGAUAGAAAGUCCAACAGCAGAUUACUUACCAACGCCUAAACCUAACGAAGAAGCCAGUUCAACCAUACCAUGUCGAAAGAUAACAAAGCUAUCGAAGAUAACAAAGGUAACGGCAAAGAUAUAGAAGAGUUCAAACAUAAACUACAUAGAAAAGAGAAAAAGAACCAAUCAAUUUAGAAGUGCUCAAGAAUAAUACCCAUUUGAGAGCAUUGUGGAGGGGGGCUUGUGUUGAAAAAAAUUGUAGAGCACCCGAGAGAGAUAAAAAAAAUCACCUUGUGCAGCACUUUCAGGAAUAUAGUAAAAUGUGAUGCUUAAAUUUUAAAAUGGAUUCUGUUUUUUUUUUUUUUUUUGAUAAAAAAAAAUGGAUUCUGUUCCGAAUUUCUAUUUUACCGCUCUUAUUUUUUCUUUUUCCAAUUUUAAUUUAAUUUUGAAACAAAUUUAGAUAAUCAUUGAUUGAUAGUCCUUAGAAAUCAGAUAUAUUAGUACAAAAUUAAAGACUGAUUUUGUGUGUGAAUAUCUUGAUGUACAAUGAAUGUCAUUUUAGGAAAGUGUUAUAUGAAUCAGCACUGUACUUGGAGGUAGAAGCAUUGUGAUGGGCGAUGGAGAAUAUGCUUCUAACAUUCGCCGUGCCAGAGCUUUGAAACAGACUGCAAAGAGCUGAUUGCAAUAAUAAAGGAACUUCAGGAGUGGCCAAGCUUCGCGACAGAACUGGAGAAGAUAGAGACGCGGCAGAUUUGUUUCCCGUACUUCAAAAUCACUCAUGUGCCACGUGUGAGCAACCAGUUUUCUGAUUUUUUAGGUAAAACUGCUAGAACCUUUCGUAGGGAGUUACUUUUCAUUGGUUGUUUUAUUCCGGUCUUGUUACCCAAACCACCUCAAGCUUGAAUAAUAGAAUGGUAGUUCGACGUAAAAAAAAGAGAGGCCAUUUUUAGUCCUAUUUGGAAGGUAGAAUAAAUGUAGUCGAUAUGUUAAUAAUAAAAAGGUUAUAAUCUAAAAUCUCAUUUUCUAAUAAAAGAAGAGAAAUCACAUUAAAAAUUCACUACUAUUGUUUUAAUGUGACAAAAUAUUUUUGUCUCAUUUUUAUUUAUUAAAUAUAAAAAUAAACAGUUUUAUAACAAAAAAAAUUAGGACAAUAGAAAUAAUUCAAUAAAUACUCAUAUCAAUUUAGCAGUCUUUUUUGUUAUAAAAAUUGAUAAAAUAUUUCAAAUACUGUUCUACUGAAAGAAUAUUUCAUUUUCUACAAAAAAUGAAAUAAAAUAAAUUGUAUUCUAUGGUUUGUUAGGGAGUCUAUGUGUUAUAUAAUCAAUAAACUAACUUUCAACCUUAUAUAACAUUUGAGGAAUAUCUAUUGUUAUCAACAUUCUCUGAAUUUUGGUUGAAUACAUCUUUUACUGUUAACCUAUUAUUCUGAAAUAAUCUGAAAACAAUUCUAAAAUUGAUUUCUUUAGUAGAAUAUAUUUUCAAAUCUAUUGGCUUGUUUCUAUAUGUACAUUGUAAGAACUGUAAAUUACGGAUAAUUAUCAUCAAAUCUCCAAAAGUCUAGAAAACACGGUUACCUAAUAUUCAGAAAAUAUUUACAAUUUUUUUUAUUUAUAAAUACAGUUACCAAAUAUCAAAAUUUUUUUUUUUAAAUUUUGUUCAUACACAAACAAAUUUCUAUGCAUGAAAAAAAAAGAAAUUAAUUUACCCGCUUUGUGAAUUAUAUGUGGGUUCAUUUUCUCCUUCUCCGCAACCAAAUCAAGACAAACAUACCACCGAGCAAACAUCCAUAACCAUUCACACAAAUUAAGCAGUUCUGGAAGAAAGGAAAAUCCAAGUCUGAGAAAGUAUAUGCAUCUAUAUUUUCCUUUACAAGAAAUUUGACUUCGUUUUUAUUGAAGAAAAUUGAAAAGAUAGAGAGAAGAACAUAGAUAUUAUGUCAAGUGAAAAAUGAAGUAUUUUACUUUUCCAAUUAUUUAUUUUUAAUUUUAGUUGAAAUAUAUAUAUAUAUAUAUAUAUAUAUAUAUAUGACAAUUAGUUUUAUUAAGUUUUAAAAGUUAAAUAAGGAUUUAAUUUGAAUUUUCGUAGACAUUAUACUAAUGAGAUAAUAUUCCAAAAGGAUUAUCUUAUUAGUACAAUAAUAGUGAAACUUUUAUGCUAUUUUCCAAUUUUUCCGAAAAGGAAUAACAAGAAAGAAAAAUAAUAAAUAAAAUUAAA